rnacentral:lncRNA from 1 species
UCGGGAUUGGAAAUAAUUAGUAUUCUACUAUAGAAACCUCUUUUGGAGGUUUAUUGCUAGUCGUUGGAAAUAAUUAGGAUUCUUUUUCCUGUGUAGUUAAAAUGGCUAGUCGUCGAAUGUCUCUUAGCGUUCAUUGGGAUGGACAGUUAGUUAUGGAUGGAAAUGGUCCCCGAUAUUUCGGUGGUCGUAAGAAAUUGAUCGCGAUUCGUUCAGAUACGACCUAUACGAAUUUUGAGAGGAAAAUGUAUCGUUUAGUAAAUUAUAAUAGAGAAGAAUGUUGUCUUAAAUACAAAAUUCGAUGCCCUAUGGAACCGAAUGAAUAUAUUGAUCAUGAUAUAGUAGAUGAUGAAUCAUUGGAGAGUUUAAUUGGAUUGUCUGAACAUUAUGGAUGUGUGUCGCUAUACAUCGAGAAAGAUUUAUAUCCGUCGGAGACACAAUAUCAGUC